CACUUAGAAGUGUGUUGGCUGUAAAAUAUGUACAUAAAGCAAUAUAUAGGCUUUAGGUGUGUGUGCAAUAAGAACUGCAUGCCCAUAAAGAAAUCUGCAGAUAUGA